CUCCACUGAUGAUCUCCUGUUAGUGCCACGUGUCUGGGCCACUGAGACCCUGUGUUGAGAGUGAGGAUCUGAGGAA
rnacentral:snoRNA from 1 species